AGAUAACUCGCGACCACAGAAAGUCCUAAGGAUGCGUAGCCAGAGAUUCCCUCAGGGAGUCGUCAGGGAGCGCGGGAGACGGGAGCCUCUCCUGCCCCGCCCCGCCGCCCGGGGAAACGGAGGCCCGGCGUCUGCAGGAAGGGCAGCCCGGAGCCCGACCCUCCGUCCGCCCCUCGCCUCGCGCUCCCGGCGCCGCCGCGGAGGGAGCCGAGCCGCCCGAGGGCAGGAAGCUCCACGCGCCCGCCGGCGGCUCCUCCGCUGGGGGCGGUCCCGCGGGAUCAGAGACCCGGGGACCACCUCACCCGGAAGGGCAGCGACCCCGAACGCGGGGAAGAGGAGACAUUCUUCCGCUGGAGGCGAUUUUAUUUUUAUCACCCCCGAAAGACCCACAAACCACCUCCCUUUUCAUCGCUGCCUCCGAUUUCUGAGUCUCCUCCGAGCGCUCGGAAGGUCCUCUCGGCCAAGCCCAGCGCACCGCCCCCCACGCAGACCCUCGGGGAGCAGAGGCCCGAGGUGGGGGCGCCGCGGCGGGAAAGCGUUACGGGGAGGUUUGUUCGGACGCCCCGACUGUGUGGCUGUGGACAUUAUUUCCAAAGACGGAACAAGACGCGGGGUAGGGGGUGACGGCGUGUGCCGGGACCAUGUACCUUCCUCCCGCCGCCCCUGUACCGGGGGGACACAGCCUGAUGACACGCCUCGGUGCCAUAAAGACGUCAAUAUACCCGAUACAACAGUCCAGCUCGUCAGAAUUGGGAAGGGACGGCAUCAUGCCAGGAAACAAUGGCUCCAGCAGGAGAGGGAUUUUCCGCUACAGAGCAGGUGAAGAAACUGAGGCACAGAGACAUUAAGCCACUUGCCCAGUGUCACACAGAGUCAACCUCCUUCCUGUUGUCCAGAUGGAAACCUGGUUAGAAAUGAGCCAGAGGAGUAGCGAGCGGCCAGACCACCAGGGAGGACUCCGAGGCUCGAUCAGGGCAAGUUGAACAUAUUUGUAAGAAGUUAAGCCGAAGAGGAAGUGAACCAGAGGAAGGAUACAGAGAAAGGAGAUAACUGAUGGAACAGGCUCUCAGAGGAAGCAGGAGGGGACGGGGAAGACAGCGACAGAGUCAACCUUGGAAGCGAGAGGGAAACCGCAACGAGGCAGGAGCUCCUAGAACAAGAGUGGAACACGCAAGCACUCAAUAAACAUGAAAUGAGUGAAUAAAGCACGGAAACAGGUAUUUUGAGUCAGUGAAGGAAGGCUGUCAAGAUCUAGAUUUGAAUGCUGUCUCAGGAACUUCCUUUUGGGUGGAAGUAAUUGCGAUUGGAGCCUUGGUUUCCUUGAGUUUGGCAUUUCCUUCAGUAAAAUGGAGAAAGUCAAUGUGAGGAAAAAAGAGGAUGAAUUGAAUUACAAAAGCUCGUGAUGAGCAGUCUUACUCUCUGCUCCUGAAUCCUCCUGACUUCUCUAGCUGGGACUCUUCUACCCUCAACCAUCUCUCACCUCACCCCAGCUUUGGAACCAUCCUGUUUCCCAGCGGGGGAAUAGAAGAAGACACGUUAUUUGCUUCAGGCUGAGUCAGUUUCAAGGCUGGUUCUGCACCGACCUUCUAGCUCCUAUAACUCAUCAAAUUCAGUAUGUAGCUGAGAAGGUGUUGGAAAUUGCAGCAUGCUAUAUAGUUGUGAACCCUUAUGAUUUUCUUCACAGAGCUGGUUUGAGGCUCUUGUCAGCUCUCUGUCCACGUUUCUGCAGCUGCACUCUAAAGUGAGGCAGGUCAUUACCUCCCCGGGUCUUGACAGUUCUAGUCACAAGGCUCUUACCCUAACCCUUGAGCCUGAGUCUCACCUUGGUGGGUCCCAGGUCCAGCCACAGAGCCUCUGUCGUGUCUGAGUCUGUCUCUCCUCCACGGUGCAUCUCUCAGCAUCCACCCUGACCUUUCAGGCUCUGGGUCCUUUGUCUCUGUUGUUGCUGGCCUGGCCUCCUUCUGUUGGCUGCUGUUUGUUGUGGCGUUCAGCACCUGUGCCCCAGGAUACCUGCCCAGGUUUACCUAUUGCUGUGAGGAAAUUUCACCUUCCGUAGUAAAAAAAAAAAAGCAAAAACAAAACAAAUCUCAGAACUCCAGGGCUGGCACUGGAUGGGCCCUUGGCCUCGGCUUUCUCCUGAGACCCUCCUUCCCUUUGGGGUCUGUGGCUGGUCCUGCCGUCGCUACAUUGGCCAAGGAGGAACUGCUUCCCGCUUUCUUUUCUUACACUGGACAGAGGACUCUUGGUUGGUUCCCCACGGCCCAACUGAGCAAAGUUAGAAUGUUCACAUGAGACGUGAAUAAAUGAUAGGCGGUAACCAAAGGAGAACAGAAGGAGAUGCCUUCGUCGAUCCUGUUCAGGACUCAGCUUACUUCUGCUCGGUUGUUGGACGCAUAUACGGAUGCCUUUCUUCCUGGCUCCAGGGAUCUUCCUGGUGCCUGCUCGGACAAACUCUCUUGUCUGAUGUGGUACCUUAUUCAACUCCCUGUGCUAUUGGUAUGGGGCUGCUUUGGUUUUCUCUGGCCAGACUCACACUUCUACAACCUAACUCUCAUUUGACAAGAGAAGAGGGUUACUGGAGGCAAGAUUUCUGGAGGGCAAGAAAUAUUAGGAAGUACCAAAUGUUGCAGCCUGGUGAAUAGUGGGACUGAAAGGCAGAAGGGCUAGCUCCACGCUGGAUGGCGCUGAGAGCUUUGCAGACCUCCUCUAUCCUGAGCUGCCCACUUUGUGCACAGGACCGUCAACAACACGCCGUAAACCUGUGGCUGGUGUAUGUGUAAUGAGGCAUCAUAUAUAGGAGACGGUGAGACUCAUCUCAACAUUGUCCCCAUUCCCAUCAUGAUACAGCGUUUCUCUCCCGAUGAAAACCUUUCCGUGAAAAUGAAAUAAAAUAAAUAAUAAACAACAAGAUUAAAAAUGUAAACAGCUAAGCAUAACUUUUCAAAGCUUCUUUGCUAUUCUAAAUGGGAAUAGCUUUAGGACAGCGCUAGCUAUCCCUCACCCAAAGCAUCCAGGGGUGGAGAGACUAACGCUUUGAGGAAAAGCUUUGUUAACCUGCGAAAGAGGAAUAUUUUCAAAGGACAAAUAUACAACUGGAUAAAAGAAGCAGAACAUGGGAAAAUAACCAUUUUCUGGUUGUCCUACUUUUCCUUAUUUCGGGGAAAUUAUUCUGCGGAGUGAACAACACGCGUACUGUCCAAGUGGGUUCUGAUUCGUGCUCAGGACUGUGAUUGGCUGGUCUGACUUCCCGGAGGAGACAAAGUCACGGUUUCGGUGGGUUCUGUCUGAGGAGCAAGUGGGAAGGUGCUGAGGGUGAAGAUGUGCGGUGGGAGUUUAAAUGCGGGUCCCCAAGCACAAUCUGACAGAAGGUCUGCGUCCUUCUGUCCCCAUGGCGGGGCCGAGAGUGGAGCUACAGCUCUGGGCUGUGGUCGGAACACGCAUGUAUAUUUAAGUUCCAAGGAACAAAGUGAUGACUUUGUUGGUAAAAGAGGCAGUUUUGGUGGGUCUCUUACGUUGCUGCUGGCUCCUGCCAUCCAUCAUUGCUCCCUGAGGGCUCGCCACGAAACUUCAGAGUCACUUUCAAACAGCACUAAUUAGGCACUCAUGUGGCUUUGGGGAACCUCUGCUCCCUCGACUUUUCAUCUGGGUCAUGUUCUAACAUGAAACUUUCUUCCUUGAAGGAUAGGGAGAGCCAUGGCCGGGGAAUCCCUCUCCAGCUCUCCUCACGCCAGUUGCAAAUGUGCGUGUGGGAAGCAGCACAGGUUUGUCACCUUAGUGGAAGAUGUUUCUCAAAAUACGGUGCUACUUAGCAGCUUCUCGGGCAAGAACUCCCUAUAAAUGUAUUGCUUUUCCUGUAAGUUCCUAAGAGGGAACUAGACGAUGCAAGGUCUAGGUUCCUUAGCAAAUAACCAGACACACAGCUUCAUUUACAUAGGAACAGGCUUUAACACCUCAGAACUGCUUCUCCAGGCGGGAACAAAUAUCCAGAUGAACCAGAGAUUCCUGUUCAACAAGCCUGGCUGCCAGGGGUCUUGCUGAUCCACAUCUGGGCCU